rnacentral:rRNA from 1 species
UGGGGAAUAUUGCACAAUGGGCGGAAGCCUGAUGCAGCAACGCCGCGUGCGGGAUGACGGCCUUCGGGUUGUAAACCGCUUUCACCUGUGACGAAGCGAAAGUGACGGUAGCAGGAGAAGAAGCACCGGCCAACUACGUGCCAGCAGCCGCGGUGAUACGUAGGGUGCGAGCGUUGUCCGGAAUUAUUGGGCGUAAAGAGCUUGUAGGCGGUUUGUUGCGUCGGAAGUGAAAACUCAGGGCUCAACCCUGAGCGUGCUUUCGAUACGGGCAGACUUGAGGAAUGCAGGGGAGAAUGGAAUUCCUGGUGGAGCGGUGGAAUGCGCAGAUAUCAGGAGGAACACCGGUGGCGAAGGCGGUUCUCUGGGCAUUUCCUGACGCUGAGAAGCGAAAGCGUGGGGAGCAAACA